rnacentral:rRNA from 1 species
GACGAACGCUGGCGGCGUGCUUAACACAUGCAAGUCGAACGGACCUUCGGGUUAGUGGCGAACGGGUGAGUAACACGUGGGUGAUCUGCUCUGCACUUUGGGAUAAGCCUGGGAAACUGGGUCUAAUACCGAAUAGGGCCACGCGCUUCAUGGUGGGUGGUGGAAAGCUUUUGCGGUGUGGGAUGGGCCCGCGGCCUAUCAGCUUGUUGGUGGGGUAAUGGCCUACCAAGGCGACGGCGGGUAGCCGGCCUGAGAGGGUGACCGGCCACACUGGGACUGAGAUACGGCCCAGACUCCUACGGGAGGCAGCAGUGGGGAAUAUUGCACAAUGGGCGCAAGCCUGAUGCAGCGACGCCGCGUGAGGGAUGACGGCCUUCGGGUUGUAAACCUCUUUCGCCAGGGACGAAGCGCAAGUGACGGUACCUGGAGAAGAAGGACCGGCCAACUACGUGCCAGCCGCCGCGGUAA